rnacentral:rRNA from 1 species
GGGUUGUGAGGUUAAGCGACUAAGCGUACACGGUGGAUGCCCGGCAGUCAGAGGCGAUGAAGGGCGUGCUAAUCUGCGAUAAGCGCCGGUAAGGUGAUAUGAACCGUUAUAACCGGCGAUACCCGAAUGGGGAAACCCAGUGUGAUUCGUCACACUAUCAUUAACUGAAUCCAUAGGUUAAUGAGGCGAACCGGGGGAACUGAAACAUCUAAGUACCCCGAGGAAAAGAAAUCAACCGAGAUUCCCCCAGUAGCGGCGAGCGAACGGGGAGGAGCCCAGAGCCUGAAUCAGCAUGUGUGUUAGUGGAAGCGUCUGGAAAGGCGCGCGAUACAGGGUGACAGCCCCGUACACAAAAGCGCAUGUGCUGUGAGCUCGAUGAGUAGGGCGGGACACGUGGUAUCCUGUCUGAAUAUGGGGACCAUCCUCCAAGGCUAAAUACUCCUGACUGACCGAUAGUGAACCAGUACCGUGAGGGAAAGGCGAAAAGAACCCCGGCGAGGGGAGUGAAAAAGAACCUGAAACCGUGUACGUACAAGCAGUGGGAGCACCCUUCGGGGUGUGACUGCGUACCUUUUGUAUAAUGGGUCAGCGACUUAUAUUCUGUAGCAAGGUUAACCGUAUAGGGGAGCCGCAGGGAAACCGAGUCUUAAUUGGGCGUUAAGUUGCAGGGUAUAGACCCGAAACCCGGUGAUCUAGCCAUGGGCAGGUUGAAGGUUGGGUAACACUAACUGGAGGACCGAACCGACUAAUGUUGAAAAAUUAGCGGAUGACCUGUGGCUGGGGGUGAAAGGCCAAUCAAACCGGGAGAUAGCUGGUUCUCCCCGAAAGCUAUUUAGGUAGCGCCUCGUGAAUUCAUCUCCGGGGGUAGAGCACUGUUUCGGCUAGGGGCCAUCCCGGCUUACCAACCCGAUGCAAACUGCGAAUACCGGAGAAUGUUAUCACGGGAGACACACGGCGGGUGCUAACGUCCGUCGUGAAGAGGGAAACAACCCAGACCGCCAGCUAAGGUCCCAAAGUCAUGGUUAAGUGGGAAACGAUGUGGGAAGGCCCAGACAGCCAGGAUGUUGGCUUAGAAGCAGCCAUCAUUUAAAGAAAGCGUAAUAGCUCACUGGUCGAGUCGGCCUGCGCGGAAGAUGUAACGGGGCUAAACCAUGCACCGAAGCUGCGGCAGCGACACUGUGUGUUGUUGGGUAGGGGAGCGUUCUGUAAGCCUGCGAAGGUGGCCUGUGAGGGUUGCUGGAGGUAUCAGAAGUGCGAAUGCUGACAUAAGUAACGAUAAAGCGGGUGAAAAGCCCGCUCGCCGGAAGACCAAGGGUUCCUGUCCAACGUUAAUCGGGGCAGGGUGAGUCGACCCCUAAGGCGAGGCCGAAAGGCGUAGUCGAUGGGAAACGGGUUAAUAUUCCCGUACUUGGUGUUACUGCGAAGGGGGGACGGAGAAGGCUAUGUUGGCCGGGCGACGGUUGUCCCGGUUUAAGCGUGUAGGUGUGUGUUCCGUAAAUCCGGUUCACUUUAACACUGAGGCGUGACGACGAGGCACUACGGUGCUGAAGCAACAAAUGCCCUGCUUCCAGGAAAAGCCUCUAAGCAUCAGGUAACAUCAAAUCGUACCCCAAACCGACACAGGUGGUCAGGUAGAGAAUACCAAGGCGCUUGAGAGAACUCGGGUGAAGGAACUAGGCAAAAUGGUGCCGUAACUUCGGGAGAAGGCACGCUGACACGUAGGUGAAGUGAUUUACUCAUGGAGCUGAAGUCAGUCGAAGAUACCAGCUGGCUGCAACUGUUUAUUAAAAACACAGCACUGUGCAAACACGAAAGUGGACGUAUACGGUGUGACGCCUGCCCGGUGCCGGAAGGUUAAUUGAUGGGGUCAGCGCAAGCGAAGCUCCUGAUCGAAGCCCCGGUAAACGGCGGCCGUAACUAUAACGGUCCUAAGGUAGCGAAAUUCCUUGUCGGGUAAGUUCCGACCUGCACGAAUGGCGUAAUGAUGGCCAGGCUGUCUCCACCCGAGACUCAGUGAAAUUGAACUCGCUGUGAAGAUGCAGUGUACCCGCGGCAAGACGGAAAGACCCCGUGAACCUUUACUAUAGCUUGACACUGAACAUUGAGCCUUGAUGUGUAGGAUAGGUGGGAGGCUUUGAAGCGUGGACGCCAGUCUGCGUGGAGCCGACCUUGAAAUACCACCCUUUAAUGUUUGAUGUUCUAACGUGGACCCGUAAUCCGGGUUGCGGACAGUGUCUGGUGGGUAGUUUGACUGGGGCGGUCUCCUCCUAAAGAGUAACGGAGGAGCACGAAGGUUGGCUAAUCCUCGGUCGGACAUCAGGAGGUUAGUGCAAUGGCAUAAGCCAGCUUGACUGCGAGCGUGACGGCGCGAGCAGGUGCGAAAGCAGGUCAUAGUGAUCCGGUGGUUCUGAAUGGAAGGGCCAUCGCUCAACGGAUAAAAGGUACUCCGGGGAUAACAGGCUGAUACCGCCCAAGAGUUCAUAUCGACGGCGGUGUUUGGCACCUCGAUGUCGGCUCAUCACAUCCGGGCUGAAGUAGGUCCCAAGGGUAUGGCUGUUCGCCAUUUAAAGUGGUACGCGAGCUGGGUUUAGAACGUCGUGAGACAGUUCGGUCCCUAUUUUGCCGUGGGCGCUGGAGAACUGAGGGGGCUGCUCCUAGUACGAGAGGACCGGAGUGGACGCAUCACUGGUGUUCGGGUUGUCAUGCCAAUGGCACUGCCCGGUAGCUAAAUGCGGAAGAGAUAAGUGCUGAAAGCAUCUAAGCACGAAACUUGCCCCGAGAUGAGUUCUCCCUGAGACUUAAAGUCUCCUGAAGGAACGUUGAAGACGACGACGUUGAUAGGCCGGGUGUGUAAGCGCAGCGAUGCGUUGAGCUAACCGGUACUAAUGAACCGUGAGGCUUAACCUACAACGCCGAAG